rnacentral:misc_RNA from 1 species
GAAUUGCGAAACGUAAUGUGACUUGCAACCCUCGUGAAUCAUCGAAUCUUUGAACGCAUCUUGCACUAUUCGGCUUCCCCGGAUAGUAUGCCUGGUUGAGUGUCUGUGUAUCUCUCCUAUAUCAAUUCUGUUGGUAAUAGGGACUUGGGGUCUUCUCGUCGGAACUUUCAUUUCGAAUGUCUCGGUGAACCCUUUAAAUGUAGCAAGCUCCCAUCUUUCAUCGGAAAUACGCAAACUUGGGGAUGGCGUCGUAGCAAUCACUCUUAUCAGUAUUGUCGAAGCGCCUAUAUCAUACCUCUAAUCUGCGGUGCUAAUCCUUUAUCAAUGGGCGAAGCUUGACGACUGGCAAAGUGCCAUGCUCCCUUUAUUGGAGUACACGAACAAUAAUGACCUCAACUCA